CUUUAAGAGGUGUAUAGCAUAUACUUUUUUCGUAAGUAGGGGAGUUUAAAGG
rnacentral:tRNA from 1 species